GCGUCAUGCCUCAUGGAAAGAUGCUCCCCCAUGUCUUUUCCCUGGAGCUUCCCGCUGUGAGAGCUCAUCUCCAGCAGAAGAUCUCCCGCCCUGAACAGCUCGUGUCAACAGCAUCUGGGGGAAAGAGCCGAGCCAAAUUGUCUGUAGAGUCUUGUUUGUGUUUGGAGACUCUGCUCCUGGAAGCCAAGGAGAUGUUGAUGUACAAGACUGUCAUAAUAACGACGGGCAGAUAGAAGGCCGCUAUAGCCGUCCCAAAGGUCACUGCGGGGUUAGAAAGGAACUGGAAGAGGAAACAGAGAAAAGAAAAAAUUUAUCUGUUCACACUCAGAGGACAAACCCAGAAGAUCACACAGGAUUACACAACACAGUGUGUUAGCCUCACAGUUUGACUGGAUCACAGGAGUCAGCAUAUAGAGAGAAGCGGUCUAGGAUUGAGCUGGCAGCCCUACCGUUGACUGGUGAAAACUGAUCCCAUCUCAUUAAACGGGUGAGCUGCCUCCGUCAGUCUCAGCGCCGGGUUAAGGUCAGUAAGUGUGUUUUUGCAAGAGGAAAAAGGUGAGACGUCACCUCUGUCAUAAACGUUCACACCACAGUGUCUAAUUUGUCAGUGACAGCUGGGUUACUCUGCGACUACAGCAGUUUGUGUGAGCCUGCUGGUCAGCCGCUGAGAAUAAAGAUGGACGGAAACCAGAAACAAUGCAGCAUUCGUUAAAAGUCCUGAACUUUUAACCAAUACCAGCUCAGACCCCUUAAUACAAACAUGACAUAGAAAACUGUGUUUUCUCAGGGUUGGUAACAAACUUAAGCUUUUGUACCGAACGAUUUCUUUUCAGUUUCCUUUAAGAAACACUGCAUUUUUUUUUUCUUAACAGGGUAUUAAAGGUGACAUUGCACGCUUUCCUAAAUUCCCCUGGUGGGGUUGAUGGGCACCUGACAAUAUCACAGUGGGCCCACUUUUGAGAGUUAUCUAAUCCUGAUUCACAGACUGAGAAAAACCGCCUCAACUCAACCUGGGCCUGAACGCCCCGCGGAUUUGGUCACCAUGUUUUUCUUCCUAAUACCUUUGGGUUUAUCAUCUUGAUUUUGAAAAGUUCCUGCAGAGUUUCGUUUAAUUUUACUCUGAGGCAAGUAGUUUGGAGUUCAAUUCCCAAUUUGUGACCUUUGGGAAAUGCCACCCUUUCAUGCUGUCUCUGAUUACUGUGAACAAAGAAAAUUUUUAAACUU